rnacentral:rRNA from 1 species
AACAAACGCUGGCGGCGUGCCUAAUACAUGCAAGUCGAACGGGGAAAGUAGCAAUAUGAGUACUAGUGGCGCACGGGUGAGGAAUACAUGGGUAAUCUGCCUUCAAGUUUGGGAUAACCAGUCGAAAGAUUGGCUAAUACCGGAUAAGACCACAUGAACUGCGGUUCAAGAGGUCAAAGGUUUUUCGCUUGAAGAUGAGCCCAUGUGGGAUUAGCUAGUUGGUGAGGUAAUGGCUCACCAAGGCGACGAUCCCUAACUGGUCUUAGAGGAUGAUCAGUCACACUGGAACUGAGACACGGUCCAGACUCCUACGGGAGGCAGCAGUAGGGAAUAUUGCGCAAUGGGGGAAACCCUGACGCAGCGACGCCGCGUGAGUGAUGAAGGCCUUCGGGUCGUAAAGCUCUGUCGUGUGGGACUAACAAAAUGAAGGUACCAUGCAAGAAAGGAUCGGCUAACUUCGUGCCAGCCGCCGCGGUAA